GGAGGACGCGGAUUGAAGUUCCAGUGAGUGCUCGCCUGCCCAGGACUCACAGGGCCUCCCCAGCAGCCUCACAAGGAAGGGAGCAGUGGGGCGGAUGGAUUGAGGGCCCUCGAGGUGUGAGAGUGACCCGAGGGAGCCCAGGACUUGCGCAGGAGAGGGGUGGAAGGGGAAGAGAGUGCUUAAGGUCAUCACUCCGGACGACGAGGACCGUUGCGACACGCGGGAGAGGGAGGAACAGCAAGAUCCCCACGGCCAGACCAAAUUCCCGCACAGGCCUGGCUCAGAGUGACACCUUUUCUUCCGUCGCAUGGGUCAGGCGAUGGACGCCAAUGCCACUCUGCUGGGCAACUGGAGCCUGUGGGACGAGGACUGGGGGGAGGAUGAGGAAGAGGACUACCGUUACCACCAUGAGGAGGCGCUGUUGAACCACACCCAGCCCAUCAGGAAGUCCCUCACCGUUGUCUCCAUGGUGGCCUACGCCGCCAUCUUUGUCCUGGGCGUCCCUGGCAACGUCGCCGUGUUGUGGGUCGCGGGUUUCCUGAUGGCCAGGCGCCCGGUCACCGUCUGGUUCCUCAACCUCUCGGUGGCCGACCUCCUGCUGUGCCUCACCCUGCCCUUCCUGCUCACCCAGUUGGCCGUGGACUUCAGGUGGCCCUUCGGCCCCUUCCUCUGCAAGCUGCUGCCCUGGCUCACCGUGCUCAGCAUGUACGCCAGCGUCUUCGUGCUGACCGGCAUCUCGGUGGACCGCUGCCUGGCCACGCUGCUGCCCCUCUGGUCCCGCAGGCGGCGCUCUCUGGGCCGGGCCCGGCUGUCCUGCGCCUCGGCCUGGGGCCUGGCCCUGCUGAUGUCGCUCCCCAGCCUCCUGUACCGGCGGACGGUGCAGAUUGCCGCCGAGUUCCCCGUCCAAUGCAUCGCCGACUACGGGGAGGUGUUGGGGCCUAGGCACCGCGCCGUCAGCCUGACCCGCUUCGUCUUCGCCUUCCUGCUCCCCCUGGUGGUCAUCGCCGCCAGCAACGGCCUCAUCGCCCACAGCCUCCGGGCCUCCCGCUUCUCCCAGCCCAAGAGCCAGAGGCCUUGCCGCCUCCUGCUGAUGGUGCUGCUUGGGUUCUUCCUGUGCUGGACCCCCUACCACGUGGUGGGCCUGCUCUUCCUGUCGGGUGACUGGAGGCUCCAGCUCUGGGCCCAGACGGUCGACCCCGCCGCCAUCAGCCUGGCCUACCUCAACAGCUGCCUCAACCCCUUCCUGUACGCCUUCGCCGGGCGCCAGGGCCGGGGGCAGCUCCGCAGAGGCCUGGAGGGGCUCCUGGAGGGCGCCUUCGAGGAAGAAAGCUCCCUGGCCUCCACCCGGCCCAAGCCCACACUACCGACGGUCAGCCAGAAGACAAAGACCUCAGGCCUGGAGCUCUCCAGAUCGGUGGGCCCGUCUUGUGUGACAAUUUGACGCAGCCGCUCCUGUCAGGACCUCUCCUCUGGAUGCUCGGAAGUCUCCAGAUGGCCAACUUAACACCCUCACCCCCAACUCUCUCUUUAUAAGUACUUGAGAUAGUCAAUUUAACAAUCCCCCAGCAGCAAUCUCUCUUUAUAUGUACUCGAGAUGGUCAAUUUAACCAUCCCCCAGCAGCAAUCUCUCUUUAUAAGUACUCAAGAUGGUCAAUUUAACAACACCCCAGCAGCAAUCUCUCUUUAUAUGUACUCGAGGUGGUCAAUUUAACCAUCCCCCAGCAGCAAUCUCUCUUUAUAUGUACUCGAGAUGGUCAAUUUAACAAUCCCCCAGCAGCAAUCUCUCUUUAUAAGUACUCAAGAUG